rnacentral:lncRNA from 1 species
CUAAACGAGGAGCGAUUAGAAGCUAGAUGCUUCGGCCUAUGGUUUCAAGAGCUGAUGGAGUGUGAUUCAGGGUACUCGUCAGCUGACUCGUCAGCUAUCUCGUUAUAGGCGUACCGCGAUUAGUACGAGAUAUACAAACGGGCGGGGGAAGAACACGCAAUACACAGGGGAACGAGGCUUUCGGGGAUGUGCAACCCCCGGGAGGGCGGAUCAUCAUCAUGCACGAUACAGCCCGUUAUUUCAAACGUUUUCAACUACGUGGUCGGGAGAUAACAUUGCGUAUCCGCCAGCCUCACGCUGGCACAAACGUGACAACAUGGCUUGAAGGAGCAUUCCGCGAUCUUCUGACGCAUCUCACGAGUCACU